rnacentral:rRNA from 1 species
UACAGAGGUCUCAAGCGUUGUUCGGAUUUAUUGGGCGUAAAGAGCUCGUAGGUGGUUCGAUAAGUCGGGUGUGAAACCUCCAGGCUCAACCUGGAGACGCCACCCGAUACUGUCGUGACUAGAGUCCAGUAGGGGAGCGUGGAAUUCCUGGUGUAGCGGUGAAAUGCGCAGAUAUCAGGAGGAACACCAGCGGCGAAGGCGGCGCUCUGGGCUGGCACUGACACUGAGGAGCGAAAGCGUGGGGAGCGAACAGG